rnacentral:rRNA from 1 species
GACAGAGGUGGUAAGCGUUGCUCGGAUUUACUGGGCUUAAAGGGCUCGUAGGCGGCUUUAUAAGUCCGAGGUGGAAUUCCACAGCUUAACUGUGGACCUGCAUUGGAACCGAUAAGGCUUGAGUCAGGUAGAGGAGGUCGGAAUUCCCGGUGUAGCGGUGGAAUGCGUAGAUAUCGGGAGGAAGGCCGGUGGCGAAAGCGGCUCUCUGGGCCUUUACUGACGCUGAGGCGCGAAAGCGUGGGGAGCAAACAGG